rnacentral:lncRNA from 1 species
GAUGCAGUGACCUUUGAAGAUGUGGCUGUGGACUUUACCCAGGAAGAAUGGACUUCCCUGGAUCCAAUUCAGAGAACCCUCUACCGAGAGGUGAUGCUGGAGAACUACCAGAACCUGGCCACAGUAGGUGAGACUGCCACCACUUGUUCUAGCUUCAUAAGAGUACAGAAAUACUGCUCUAGAGUAUGAUGUCAGCUCAGAGAACAGAGGGGAAUAGCAGGUGAGGUCCCUUAUCAUAAUUUAAUACAUUAUGGUAGUUCUCAACUAACGGUGGUUAGUAGCAUCACUACUGCUAUACUAAUAAUGUUAUUCUAAAAUUCUUCCUCUUCUUGAUUUGUUUUGUUAGGUUGGCUUCAAGCUCUCAGCAAUCCUCCUGUCUCAGUUUUCUGAGAGCUGGGAUAACAGAUGUGGACUGUCGUACUUGACUGUCAUUCUUAACCAUCUUUUUGAAUCUGUUUCUAAAGAUAAGAACUAGGGCUAUCAUCAUUCCUCCCUAUGAGGAUGAAGACCCACGCUGGGCACAUUUCUCUGUUGUAGAGUGCUUGUUUAGACACAUGAGGCCUUGGGUUUGAUCUGUAUUCCUGGGGGUGGGGUGACUAAAUAAUACUGUAAUUCAUAAUUAAAUAACACUGUAUUAAGUUUUAUUGGGAGAAAUGGUUUAGUGUAUUUUAUUUUACAUUUUUUAAAGCAUAAAAUUUUCAUUAAUAAUGAAGGAAUAGGAAUAUUACAUGUCAUUAAUAGUUUAUUUAUUUAUUGACAGUAGUGGGGGUAAUUUAGAACCUAUAGUCCUGGUAAGUGCUCCACUACUGAACCAUACCCUUACCGUUUUUUGGUUUCUCGAG